rnacentral:rRNA from 1 species
AGAGUUUGAUCAUGGCUCAGAACGAACGCUGGCGGCGUGCUUAACACAUGCAAGUCGAGUGCGCGUCUGUAGCAAUACAGGUGGCGCACGGCGCACGGGUGCGUAACACGUGGGUAACCUGCCCUUUAGUGGGGAAUAACCUCGCGAAAGCGAGGCUAAUUCCGCAUAAGAUCCGCAAGGAUGAAAGCCGUAAGGCGCUGAUGGAGGGGCCCGCGCACGAUUAGCUAGUUGGUAGGGUAACGGCCUACCAAGGCUAUGAUCGUUAGCUGGUCUGAGAGGAUGGCCAGCCACACUGGAACUGAGACACGGUCCAGACUCCUACGGGAGGCAGCAGUGGGGAAUCUUGCACAAUGGGCGAAAGCCUGAUGCAGCGACGCCGCGUGGGGGAUGAAGCUUCUCGGAGUGUAAACCCCUUUCGACCCGGACGAAUACCUCGCAAGAGGGGUGACGGUACGGGUAUAAGAAGCCCCGGCUAACUACGUGCCAGCAGCCGCGGUAAGACGUAGGGGGCCAGCGUUGUUCGGAAUUACUGGGUGUAAAGGGUUCGUAGGCGGUGUGGCAAGUCGGGAGUGAAAUUUCUGGGCUCAACUCAGAGACUGCUUCCGAAACUGCUGUGCUUGAGUGUGGGAGAGGCGCGUGGAAUUGCAGGUGUAGCGGUGAAAUGCGUAGAUAUCUGCAGGAACACCCGUGGCGAAAGCGGCGCGCUGGACCACUACUGACGCUGAGGAACGAAAGCUAGGGGAGCAAACAGGAUUAGAUACCCUAGUAGUCC